CGUCAGGACGAACGCUGGCGGCGUGCUUAACACAUGCAAGUCGAGCGAUGAAGCUUCUUCGGAAGUGGAUUAGCGGCGGACGGUGAGUAACACGUGGGUAACCUGCCUCAUAGAGGGGAAUAGCCUUACCGAAAGGAAGAUUAAUACCGCAUAAGAUUGUAAUAUCGCAUGAUAUAGCAAUUAAAGGAGUAAUCCGCUAUGAGAUGGACCCGCGUCGCAUUAGCUAGUUGGUGAGGUAACGGCUCACCAAGGCGACGAUGCGUAGCCGACCUGAGAGGGUGAUCGGCCACAUUGGGACUGAGACACGGCCCAGACUCCUACGGGAGGCAGCAGUGGGGAAUAUUGCACAAUGGGGGAAACCCUGAUGCAGCCAACGCCGCGUGAGUGAUGACGGUCUUCGGAUUGUAAAGCUCUGUCUUCAGGGACGAUAAUGACGGUACCUGAGGAGGAAGCCACGGCUAACUACGUGCCAGCAGCGGC
rnacentral:rRNA from 1 species